GAUGAACGCCAGCGGCAGGCCUAAUACAUGCAAGUCGGACGGGAUUGAGGGGCUUGCCCUUCAUGAGAGUGGCGCACGGGUGCGUAACACGUAUGUAACCUACCUUAGUCGGGGGGAUAGCCUCUCGAAAGAGAGAUUAAGACCGCAUAACAUCAUUUUGUGGCAUCGCAGAAUGAUCAAAUAUUUAUAGGACUAAGAUGGGCAUGCGGAACAUUAGCUAGUUGGUGUGGUAACGGCAUACCAAGGCGACGAUGUUUAGGGGAUCUGAGAGGAUGACCCCCCACACUGGUACUGAGACACGGACCAGACUCUUACGGGAGGCAGCAGUAAGGAAUAUUGGUCAAUGGACGGAAGUCUGAACCAGCCAUGCCGCGUGCAGGAAGACGGCCCUAUGGGUUGUAAACUGCUUUUGUACGGAGCGAAAAGGCCCUCUCUAAUACAGGGGGCUCAUGACGGUACCGUAAGAAUAAGCACCGGCUAACUACGUGCCAGCAGCCGCAGUAACAC
rnacentral:rRNA from 1 species